UUUCCGUAGGUGAACCUGCGGAAGGAUCAUUAUUGAAUAACCAAUGUCCGAGGGCUCUCGCUCAUCCGGAAGGGCCGGUACGCCCGAGUGCCCUCUCACACAUCCCUCUCACCCCUAUGUGCACCACCCCGUUUUUCUCCCUAUGCCUUUUUCGGUGGUGGGCUUACUUAUUUACACCUUCUUUCUACGGAUUGUUGAAUUUAUUUUUUGUUUUAGCGAUCACGCAAUCAAUACAACUCUCAACAACGCAUCUCUUGCCUCUCGCCUCGAUGAAUAACG
rnacentral:misc_RNA from 1 species